CCCUCGCUGGGGGCCUGGAACUUGCCCACCACCAGCCUCGACCCGUUCUUCACCUUCUCGAUGGACUCCCCCACGGCGGCGCUCGCCUCCUUGGGGCUCGCCCCGAGGGCCUCCUUGGCCUCCCGCACGGCGGUGGACGCCGCCGCGAGCGCCGCCGCCUCGUCGGAGAAGUUGAGCUUCUGCGACAUCCAGACCUCGUUGGCGGCGGGGUCCGCGAGGAGGAGCCAGAAGUUCUCCUCCUUGGGGAAGGGGAAGAAGGGCGCGUGGGGGAGGGCGACGGUGAGGCCGUU
rnacentral:lncRNA from 1 species